CCUGUUAGGGUUUAUUCGAAGCACUUCAAUCGUUAUCGAGACCUUUAGGUUUUUGUUCGUCUUCGUCGAAUUCCGGUACUGGAGAAAUAAUUCGAUGCUUCGAAGGCUUUUUGGGUUUAUAGGGUCUUGAAAUUACCUUAUUUGAGCUUCGAUAUCUAGGUUUCGUAUUUCCAAUGAGCCGUUGUUUCGAUCUGAGAAAACGGAUUGAGUUUGUUCUUCGAAAAAUUUACUUAGCUUAUUGGAAAUGACGAAAGUUGAAGCUUGCAAGAAGUCAACAAUACAGCAAAGAGCUAGAUUUAGAAGUCGCCUUACAAACUUUUAAGCGGAUUGGGAUUCUGGACGUCCUUUCAGAUUCAUAUUAUCUUGCUGGUGCUCAUAUUUGAUGAGUGAUUAUGGAGAUACAGACGUGUGGAAAACCAAUUGAUUCGCUGUUAGAGAAGGUUCUGUGCAUGAAUAUUUUGUCUUCUGAUUAUUUCAAAGAGCUUUACCGACUAAAAACCUACCAUGAGGUGAUUGAUGAAAUUUACAAUCAAGUUGACCAUGUGGAGCCAUGGAUGACUGGAAAUUGUCGGGGUCCUUCAACAGCAUUUUGUCUUCUUUACAAGUUUUUUACCAUGAAACUCACUGUCAAGCAAAUGCAUGGACUACUAAAGCACCCGGAUUCUCCAUAUAUAAGAGCUGUUGGAUUCCUUUACUUGAGAUAUGCUGGAGAUCCAAAGACUGUGUGGACUUGGUUUGAGCCAUAUGUUAAAGAAGAUGAGGUAUGUGAAAAAAGAUUUGGUACUCUUUUUAGUUGACUAACCUAGUUAUUUGGUACCUCAGCCAAUUAUGGAGAAGCAUUUGUUUCCUUCUUGUAAAGGAAUGCACCUUUCCUUUCUUUCCAAAAAAGUUAUCGAUUAUUUUCUUGCCUCAAAUCUAUGUUUUUGGCCUUCCAAGACCAUCUCUUGUAUGCCAUUUGUAUUUCAUGGUUUAUAUGUUUUUACCUAUGGUGAUGAACUUUGGGCCUUUAAUUGUUUGUGGCAUAUGAACAAUGUGAGAUUUGGAGCAUAGCAACUUUAAGAGAGAAUAGGCAUUAUUAAGCUAGAGAAAUUUCCAUAGAACAGUAUAAAAUUAGUAUGUCCAUUUGCAUUUUGGAAACUAUAUAGUUGGAAGGAGAUAACAUAAUUGGUUAAAUAUUGGUAAAAGGAUCCAAAAAAAUAUAUAUUGGUAAACAUAUGAAGUCACUACCAUGAGGUCUAUCCAAGAUGUUACAGCUUGAUCCUUUAUCAAGAAAUAAGUAUGUAUUACAGAAUGCAGGGUUUGGUCAAGAAGUAUAUAUUGCUGGGUUUAGGAGCUUGGUCUAAUUUUAUAUUCAACAAACAAUUCAUUUUUCGUUGUUAAGUCGUAUUUAGUUUUGUUCUUUCCUACGGUGUUAUAUCCUAUAAAUAUAUACCAAACUCUACCAUAGAGGACAUACUGAUUAUAUGUAUUAUUUUGCUUGAGCAUAACUUUAAUGAGUUCAUCUCAGCAGGAAACUGGCAAGAUUGCAAAUAAAAGCAGCAUCAGUAUUUCCAAAGUUCCCAUAAGACUUGCUAAGAUUUUCUAAAAACAACUUGCUAAGAUUUUCUAAAAAAAGUAUUUCUAGCUGUAGGACAAUUGACUUGAGAGGGUGCAUCUCAAGUCAUAUUCGUGGAUCAUGAAAAACUUGCGUAUUUUAGGGUGUACGACAUAUAAAACUAAAUUCUUGCUUUUGUUUAAGUUCUUAUUUCUUUCCCCUGAUUUUAGUUUACUUUUUGUCUAUUUUAGUUUAGCAUUGGUUUUGAUUACUAUAGACUCUAACUUCUUUUACCUUUGUUCCAAUUCUAUUUCAAUUUUUCUGUCUGUUCUGAUGUUUUUACCUUCUGAUCCUAUGAUCUUUCUUUGUGCAUAACAACAAUUUUCUGAGCAAUUUGGAACAUUUACUCAAUUAGGGACUGAAGGAUCAUUCAAUCCUACGAUCUGGGUUGCAAUUUUAACAGCUAUGGUUGCAAUCGAAUUCUCACCUGGAUCAAAUGGGCGAAUGACAACAAUGGGUGCAUAUGUGCGCGAUUUACUUCUUGGACAGUACUACUUUGAUACUCUUUUUCCACGUAUUCCUGUUCCUAUCUUGCGGCAGAUUGUAGCCAAUCUUGAAAAGAUGAAGUUGCCUUCCAAACAUUCUGGUGUAACUGGGGAUACCAAUAGGCAUGGAUCUGAUGAUACGGCCCGUCGACCACCCUCUGUGAAAGCGGCACUUUCAGUUUCAUUUGGACAGCGUGCUCCUCAUCGUGCAUCAACUAGGGACUCAUCUCCUGUUCGUCGUACUCUGCCACCACCCGCUUAUGAUAGAACUAGUGUGGAUGAUCAACGAAAAUCUCCAAGUAGUCGUCGGAGCCAGAGUCGUGACUACUAUUCUGAUAGGGAAAAUUCAGAACGUGAUCGGGAACGUGAUCGGGAACGGAGCCGAGACCAAGAUAGAGAUAGAGACAGAGACAGAGACAGGGAGAGGGAUAGAACGAGAGAUCGAGAUAGGGAGAGAGAUAGAGACAGAGAGAGGGAUCGAGAUAGACAUGGAGACAGGGAUAGGGAUCGAGACAGGGGCAGAGAUCGUGACUGGGACAGAAUCAGGGAUAGAGACAGGGAUAGGGAGAGGGAGAGAGACAGAGAAAAAAGGUAUGAGUCUGAUCGGAGGUCAAGGUAUUCAGAAAGAGAAAGCAGAAGGGAUUACGAUGAUGAUAGGCAAUACAGAGAAUCUAAUUCCCGUAGAAGUCGUAGCCGGAGCAGAAGCAGGAGUCAAAGUUUGCAAGCUAGCAACAUGCAUUUUGAUCAUCAUUCAAGUCCACAGCGAGAUGGUGGCAAAGAGAGGACUUCUGCUGCAACAAAUUUAGCCAAGCUUAAGGAUCUCUAUGGUGAUAUAACUGAUACAAAAGGGAAUGGUGAAAGUGAGAGGAUUCCUAGGCGGGAUACCAGUAGCGAAGAGGUGAUUAGGCUCGGAGGUUCUAAAUGGAAAUAGUUUGUCGUGUAAUUUCCCCACUUCCUAUGUAUCAUUUGGAUCUUCAAUUCUGAAAAUGAUAGGGUUUUCAAAGGUCAUGAUACAUUCAUGCUUAUUUUUUUCUUUUCUUCCGCCCAAAGACGUGGUGACUGAUUGGCUGAAGACAUGCGGAAGCACUUGCCGUGUAAUUCCAUGGCUGUCGUGUCUACUUGAUGUUUAUUCAGUGUCUUGUUAAAAUCUAUUGAAUGCUAUAUGAACUUCCUCGUACAUAA